AAAAGAAACUAACAAGGAUUCCCUCAGUAACGGCGAGUGAACGGGGAGAAGCCCAGCGCUGAAUCUUUCGAUGUUACAUCGUAAAGAAAUGUAGCGUAUAGGUGUGGUUUUCAGUUUGUGCUACAUGUCCAAAGUCCCUUUGAUAGGGGCCAUAUUCCCGAGAGGGUGCGAGACCUGUGCGGACAGUGGAGCAAGCUGUACGAUCAUACCUUAGAGUCGGGUUGCUUGAAAGUGCAGCCUAAAGUGGGUGAUAAACUUCAUCUAAGGCUAAAUAUAGACGCGAAUUCGAUAGCAAACAAGUACUGUGAAGGAAA
rnacentral:rRNA from 1 species